AUGAUGCCUGGGCGCAGCCUGAUCCAGCAUGCCGCGUGAGUGAAGAAGGCCUUCGGGUUGUAAAGCUCUUUUGUCAGGGAAGAAACGGUUCAGGCUAAUAUCCUGGGCUAAUGACGGUACCUGAAGAAUAAGCACCGGCUAACUACGUGCCAGCAGCCGCGGUAAUACGUAGGGUGCAAGCGUUAAUCGGAAUUACUGGGCGUAAAGCGUGCGCAGGCGGUUUUGUAAGUCUGACGUGAAAGCCCCGGGCUCAACCUGGGAAUUGCGUUGGAGACUGCAAGGCUUGAAUCUGGCAGAGGGGGGUAGAAUUCCACGUGUAGCAGUGAAAUGCGUAGAGAUGUGGAGGAACACCGAUGGCGAAGGCAGCCCCCUGGGUCAAGAUUGACGCUCAUGCACGAAAGCGUGGGGAGCAAACAGGAUUAGAUACCCUGGUAGUCCACGCCCUAAACGAUGUCUACUAGUUGUCGGGUUUUAAUUAACUUGGUAACGCAGCUAACGCGUGAAGUAGACCGCCUGGGGAGUACGGUCGCAAGAUUAAAACUCAAUGAAAUUUGACGGA
rnacentral:rRNA from 1 species